UUCUACAAACUUAACACUGAUGGGUCAUGCCUGGGUAACCUGGGAAGGAGACUAUUGGGGGAGUGAUUAGAACUGACUCGGGCACCUGGGUUCUUGGUUUUAUACAAAUCUUCCAUCAUGCUUCUAAUAAUCUCAUGGAACUCAUGGCACUUAAGCAAGGCCUUCUUCUGAUUGAGGAGCACAACUUGUGCCCUAUUGAGAUCUGUGUUGACUCAGAAGAAAUCAUUAACUGGCUAACAAAAGCGAAUUACUCUAUAACCCAAUUAUUCAUCAUUGCAGGUCUUUGAUAAGAAGAUUGAGAAACAUGGUAGCUGACAUCAUGGCGAAGGCUGAAGCAAAAAUUUCCUUUUUGACUUCUGUAAAGUUUUUGUAACCCCACCCUCAUUUGUAACUAAUGAAGUUUGGACUGAUAUAGAAGGAAAAUGCUAUACUUGUAGGUUUCUUCUUACCAAAGCUGUACAAGUCAUCGACAAACAAGUUUUGUAAUGGAGCCAGACUGAGCUCCCGAUCAAACACCCC
rnacentral:lncRNA from 1 species